rnacentral:rRNA from 1 species
AUUGAACGCUGGCGGCAUGCCUUACACAUGCAAGUCGAACGAUAACAGGUCUUCGGAUGCUGACGAGUGGCGAACGGGUGAGUAAUACAUCGGAACGUGCCUAGUAGUGGGGGAUAACUACUCGAAAGAGUGGCUAAUACCGCAUGAGAUCUACGGAUGAAAGCAGGGGAUCGCAAGACCUUGUGCUACUAGAGCGGCCGAUGGCAGAUUAGGUAGUUGGUGGGAUAAAAGCUGACCAAGCCGACGAUCUGUAGCUGGUCUGAGAGGACGAUCAGCCAAACUGGGACUGAGACACGGCCCAGACUCCUACGGGAGGCAGCAGUGGGGAAUUUUAGACAAUGGGCGCAAGCCUGAUCCAGCAAUGCCGCGUGCAGGAUGAAGGCCUUCGGGUUGUAAACUGCUUUUGUACGGAACGAAAAGCCCCGGGUUAAUACCCUGGGGUCAUGACGGUACCGUAAGAAUAAGCACCGGCUAACUACGUGCCAGCAGCCGCGGUAA